AUUUCGUUAUAUUUCUAUUAUUACGUUCGUGCAUAAUUCAAUAAACUAAUAUAAAACAAAAAACAUUGUGCGUCUAUUAUUUCCUUAUAAAACGAAAGAAACUUUUCGGACAAUCUAAUAUAUUCCAAUAAGGGUGGAGCAACUGAUCACCAGAUGGCAGUAGAGAUUAUUUUUCAAAUAUUUUGAUAGAGUUUAAUUAUAACCUAUUUCGAGAAUUAUUUCUAAUACAAAUAAUAUGAACAUGUCAGAAGAAAAAAAAUGUAAAAUGAUAAAUACAAUUUUAAGGUAAAGUAACAUCUAAUGAGGACAAAUUGAAUAAAAUUCUAGAAGUUCAUAAGUCGAUUUUAGAUAAACGAAAGUAAUAUAGUAACUUUAAAUGAAAUAGACAAGAUGAUGGAGGUUGAAGCACAACUCUGAACAUGUCUUCAAGAUUGAUGAUAGAAGUUUUUAAUCGAAGUAAAACUUUAUUUAAAGUGAUGUUUCUUAAAGAUGACUAUAAUAUAACAUAUCAAACGAAACUAAGCUUCAUUAAAAUUUCAUAUUAUGAUAGAUACUUCACAAAGCGGAUAUUGCUUAUAAUUUAUAACGAAGAAGGAGAUAGUGAUUAAAAGUUGAGCAAGUAUUUUAUUAGAAGCUGCAAGCGUUGGGCGUUACACGUAAUUUCGUGGACCGAGAAUCUUUUAAAAUGAUGAAAUGAACGGUAUCCGGAUCGAUCGGCGCAGUUACAGCUUAAGUUGACCGAGUGAAGGAAGUGCACAAACAAGAAUUGUCAGAAAAACCGCAAACGUUGUAAUUCCAUAUAAGUACGUGUGAAUCAUGAAUAGAACUAAUGACAAACUAUGACGUCAUCUUGAUAUCAGAAUUUGCUGAAUAAAAUUAAAAGAACAUAAAUCGAAAAAUCAACAUUAUUGAAUAUUUUUAGAAAUAUAACUUCUGAAUGUACGCUAAUAAUGUCACUAUUGGCUGUCAUAAAUUUCAUCGACAUGAUAGGCCUUUAAUACAAAAUAGCAAUAAUUUUUUAUCGAACCGAUCUCAUUGAUGUCAAAUUACGGAGAAAAUUAUAACGAUCGACAGAGUUAAAUAAUGCCCACCAUUAAUAUUUUAUGUCAAUCCGAAAGUAAAAUAGCAAAGUCAUCAUGCCGCAGUGAAAGUAAAUUUAUUUCCAGCUCAUUAUCAUUUUUAUUGGCUUCCUUUUCUGCCAUAGUACAUCGUACGCAUUAGAUAUGUAAUUUCCUUUUUAUCAAUCAGGAUGAUCGAUAUUUCCUCUUGGAUACUUUACAUUAAUAUAUUCCAAGAUGAGAUCGUGAUUUAAGGAUGGAAAUAGCAUUAAGGAAGAAGAACGAAGAAAAUGUAAAUGUUGACAAAAAGAGAACUACCUUCUAUUAUAAUCUUCUUCUAGGUGAAAUGUUGUGAUAGAAAAUAUGGAAGAUAUUUAUGAUAUUCGAAGAACGCCUAGGAAACGACAUAGUAUGGCAUAACCAUUCCCUCGUCUUUACCAUGUAUGGCAAGAAAUUGAGAAAAACAUGAAUGAAAAGGUGCACGAUGCGGAAAAAUAAGAAGCAGAAUACAAACGUGGUUGCUUGUGAAAGCUUUCUAGCAGAAGAAUCUUUUAUUAUGCCGUAGUGUGUCGCGAGCAGUCGGCUCUACUCACGGAUCGUUCCAUUUUCGUUCGUCUGGUCGGUGGUUCGCCACGGAACGAAGCUCUGGAAGAUCAGCUGGAGCGAUAAAGAGGUUAAAAUACAGACGCGUUGAACCGAGAACUCGCCUGACAAUUUAGACGGAGGAAAUAAUGUGCAACGAGUCGAGUAAAAUCGUUAAUUAAGAGAUUCGCACUCUAUGGCUCUGGCGAUCUUUGUAGCGGUGAAUCGUGUAAUGAUGCCUAACACAUUGAUUGUUAUUGCUUCUUGACAAAAUACAGGGGAUUUGUAAAAUCUAUGUUCGUUCGAUAAAUAAUUAAGCAUUUGUCCUAUUUAUAAUAUCGAGUCACGCUCGCGAUUUAAUAUCAGAAUUACUAAAAUAUAGAGAUUUUAUACAUUUGUAGUAUCACAUUUUUGGAGAUUUUAAUGGUUCUUCGUAACACAUAUGGAUAAGGGCUUAUUUUUCCUAUUGUAUUAUAUAUUUUAUCAUAUACUUUUCAUUUUAAUCCAAAUUUUAUACUUUAGUCACUGAUAGUUCUAAUGUUAAGGAUCAAAUUACAAUGAAGAGAAGCUCUGCUUGUAUCAAAGAUUAAUUUUAACUCUUUCCCAAAUUUUCAACUCUCUAGUUGAAUUUUGAAAUGUUAACUCUAAAUUUAAUUUGCAAUUAUAAAAUUAUGGACUAUUGAAUACAAUUUCUAUCUAAUAUUUUAAUAUCUUUCUUUAAAUAAAGUGUUAAAGCAGUAAAUAAUUAGCUCUGACCUAUACUCAGGAAAAAAAUUAUAAAUCAAAGGGUUCAUUAGAAGGAGUUGCAAUUGACCAACUUCCAGUGGGAAUUAUUUUGAGUUUCCUCGAACAAUCGAGUUAAAGUUCCUUCGUUGGUUCGCGAGCUCUUGUCAAGUCGAUUGCGGCUGUAAUCGAUACUUGGAGCACGAUUAUUGCUCAAUUGUGAGAGGAACAUAAGAGUCAGUCGACAUAGCGAUCUUUCUGCGUAAUCUCUGAAAUUAGGAGCUUCUUUGCUGUCUUCGGCUCAAGUUUGUAGAAUAGAUUAAAUGAAAGUUUUUGUUGUUCGAUUAUAUGGAGAUUUUGACGGGAGGGAGAUAUUAGAUAAAGCAGAACUUAAAACAGAUCACAAAAUAUGUAAGAGUGAGAUAUAGUUUAAAAUACACUGAUGUCGUAGGAGAGAAAUUGAAGUGAUGUCAGAGUAUUUAAGACACCUCCACUAAAUUCCUACUCUUCCUACUCUUCUCGAUCUUCUUCUCCAUUUCACAAUCUUGAUUUUAUAUACUUUGUAUAUUCUCUCGCAAUUCAUAACUUCUAUGUUUUUACCAUUGCGUCAAUUAGUAAUUAAAAAUAUUCCAUUGUGGGAAGAUGGUCCAUCUAUUAAAUAACUUCUAUAAUUUAUGUAUAUUACAUCUCUUCAUAUUCUAUACUUUUUCUAUACUUAUAAAACCGUUCUAUUAUAUUAACAAAAUUGGAUUAAUUUCCCAAUUUAGAUCAAUAUAUAAUAAUUAAAUAGUCUACUUCUAUUCUAAAUAUCCUGUUACUAAUAUAUAAUUAAAAUAUUGUAUUAUCAUUAAACAUAUCUUAUUUUUAUCUUAUUUGGAAUAUAUUCUUUGUAAUUAAUAUAUUUCUGUUACAUUAACG